rnacentral:misc_RNA from 1 species
GAUGAAGAACGCAGCGAAAUGCGAUAAGUAAUGUGAAUCGCAGAAUUCAGUGAAUCAUCGAAUCUUUGAACGCACAUUGCGCCCGCGAGUAUUCUCGCGGGCAUGCCUGUCCGAGCGUCAUUUCAACCCUCAGGGCCCGCCUGCUUCGGCAGGCGCGGCGCUGGUGUUGGGGAUCGGCCUAACCGCCGUCCCCCAAAUACAGUGGCGGUCUCGCUGCAGCCUCCCCUGCGUAGUAGCAACACUCGCAUGCGGAGCGCGGCGCGGCCACGCCGUAAAACCCCCGACUUUCUGAACGUUGACCUCGGAUCAGGUAGGAAUACCCGCUGAACUUAAGCAUAUCAAUAAGCGGAGGA